AUGGGGCUGGGGAUAGGGUUGGGAUUGGGGUUAGAGCUGGGGCUGGGGCAGGGGUUGGAAUUAGAGCUGGGAUUGGAGCUGGGAUUGGGGGUAGAGCUGGGGCUGGGACUGGAAUUAGGGCUGGAACUGGGGCAGGGAUUGGAAUUAGAGCUGGGAUUGGGACUAGAGCUCAGAUUAGAUCUGGGAUUGGGGUUAGAACUGGGGCUGGGACUGGAAUUGGGGCUGGGAUUGGGGCUAGGGCUGGGGCUGGGGCAGGGGCUGGAAUUAGGGCUGGGAUUGGGGCUAGAGCUGGGGCUGGGGCAGGGGUUGGAAUUCGGGCUGGGAUUGGGGCUAGAGCUGGGGCUGGGGCAGGGUUUGGAAUUAGGGCUGGGAUUGGGGCUAGAGCUGGGGCUGGGGCAGGGGUUGGAAUUCGGGCUGGGAUUGGGGCUAGAGCUGGGGCUGGGGCAGGGUUUGGAAUUAGGGCUGGGAUUGGGGCUAGAGCUGGGGCUGGGACUGGAAUUAGGGCUGAGAUUGGAAUUAGAGCUGGAACUGGGGCAGGGAUCGGAAUUAGAGCUGGGAUUGGGGAUAGAGCUUGGAUUAGAUCUGGGAUUGGGGUUAGAGCUGGGGCUGGGACUGGAAUUAGGGCUGGGAUUGGGGCUAGAGCUGGAAUUGGGGCUGGGAUUGGGGUUAGAGCUGGGGCUGGGACUGGAAUUAGAGCUGGGAUUGGGACUAGAGCUGGGAUUAGAUCUGGGAUUGGGGGUAGAGCUGGGAUUGGGGAUAGAGCUUGGAUUAGAUCUGGGAUUGGGGUUAGAGCUGGGGCUGGGACUGGAAUUAGGGCUGGGAUUGGGGCUAGAGCUGGAAUUGGGGCUGGGAUUGGGGUUAGAGCUGGGGCUGGGACUGGAAUUAGAGCUGGGAUUGGGACUAGAGCUGGGAUUAGAUCUGGGAUUGGGGGUAGAGCUGGGAUUGGGGAUAGAGCUUGGAUUAGAUCUGGGAUUGGGGUUAGAGCUGGGGCUGGGACUGGAAUUAGGGCUGGGAUUGGGGCUAGAGCUGGAAUUGGGGCUGGGAUUGGGGUUAGAGCUGGGGCUGGGACUGGAAUUAGAGCUGGGAUUGGGACUAGAGCUGGGAUUAGAUCUGGGAUUGGGGGUAGAGCUGGGGCUGGGACUGGAAUUAGGGCUGGGAUUGGGGGCUAGAGCUGGAACUGGGGUAGGGAUUGGAAUUAAGGCUGGGAUUAGAUCUGGGAUUGGGGUUAGAGCUGGGGCUGGGACUGGAAUUAGGGCUGGGAUUGGGGGUUAG
rnacentral:lncRNA from 1 species